UACGUAGGGGGCGAGCGUUGUCCGGAUUUAUUGGGCGUAAAGAGCUCGUAGGCGGUUUGGCAAGUCGGGUGUGAAAACUCCGGGCUCAACUCGGAGACGCCACUCGAUACUGCCAUGACUCGAGUCCGGUAGGGGAGUGCGGAAUUCCUGGUGUAGCGGUGAAAUGCGCAGAUAUCGGGAAGAACACCCGUGGCGAAGGCGGCUCUCUGGAACGCAACUGACGCUGAGACGCGAAAGCGUGGGGAGCAAACAGG
rnacentral:rRNA from 1 species